rnacentral:rRNA from 1 species
GUGUCAGCAGCCGCGGUAAUACGUAGGAUCCGAGCGUUAUCCGAAUUUACUGGGCGUAAAGCGCGUGCAGGCGGUUUGGCAAGUUGGAUGUGAAAGCUCCUGGCUCAACUGGGAGAGGCCGUUCAAGACUGCUAGACUAGAGGGCGACAGAGGGAGGUGGAAUUCCCGGUGUAGUAGUGAAAUGCGUAGAUAUCGGGAGGAACACCAGUGGCGAAGGCGGCCUCCUGGGUCGUUCCUGACGCUCAGACGCGAAAGCUAGGGGAGCGAACGGGAUUAGAAACCCUAGUAGUCC